rnacentral:rRNA from 1 species
UACGAAGGGGGCUAGCGUUGCUCGGAAUGACUGGGCGUAAAGGGCGCGUAGGCGGCUUGUAUAGUCGGAUGUGAAAUUCCUGGGCUCAACCUGGGGGCUGCGUUUGAUACGUGCGGACUUGAGUGCGGAAGAGGGUCGUGGAAUUCCCAGUGUAGAGGUGAAAUUCGUAGAUAUUGGGAAGAACACCGGUGGCGAAGGCGGCGACCUGGUCCGAUACUGACGCUGAGGCGCGAAAGCGUGGGGAGCAAACAGG